CUCGAGGGGGUGCUAAUACAUGCAAGUCGAACGAACUCUGGUAUUGAUUGGUGCUUGCAUCAUGAUUUACAUUUGAGUGAGUGGCGAACUGGUGAGUAACACGUGGGAAACCUGCCCAGAAGCGGGGGAUAACACCUGGAAACAGAUGCUAAUACCGCAUAACAACUUGGACCGCAUGGUCCGAGCUUGAAAGAUGGCUUCGGCUAUCACUUUUGGAUGGUCCCGCGGCGUAUUAGCUAGAUGGUGGGGUAACGGCUCACCAUGGCAAUGAUACGUAGCCGACCUGAGAGGGUAAUCGGCCACAUUGGGACUGAGACACGGCCCAAACUCCUACGGGAGGCAGCAGUAGGGAAUCUUCCACAAUGGACGAAAGUCUGAUGGAGCAACGCCGCGUGAGUGAAGAAGGGUUUCGGCUCGUAAAACUCUGUUGUUAAAGAAGAACAUAUCUGAGAGUAACUGUUCAGGUAUUGACGGUAUUUAACCAGAAAGCCACGGCUAACUACGUGCCAGCAGCCGCGGUAAUACGUAGGUGGCAAGCGUUGUCCGGAUUUAUUGGGCGUAAAGCGAGCGCAGGCGGUUUUUUAAGUCUGAUGUGAAAGCCUUCGGCUCAACCGAAGAAGUGCAUCGGAAACUGGGAAACUUGAGUGCAGAAGAGGACAGUGGAACUCCAUGUGUAGCGGUGAAAUGCGUAGAUAUAUGGAAGAACACCAGUGGCGAAGGCGGCUGUCUGGUCUGUAACUGACGCUGAGGCUCGAAAGUAUGGGUAGCAAACAGGAUUAGAUACCCUGGUAGUCCAUACCGUAAACGAUGAAUGCUAAGUGUUGGAGGGUUUCCGCCCUUCAGUGCUGCAGCUAACGCAUUAAGCAUUCCGCCUGGGGAGUACGGCCGCAAGGCUGAAACUCAAAGGAAUUGACGGGGGCCCGCACAAGCGGUGGAGCAUGUGGUUUAAUUCGAAGCUACGCGAAGAACCUUACCAGGUCUUGACAUACUAUGCAAAUCUAAGAGAUUAGACGUUCCCUUCGGGGACAUGGAUACAGGUGGUGCAUGGUUGUCGUCAGCUCGUGUCGUGAGAUGUUGGGUUAAGUCCCGCAACGAGCGCAACCCUUAUUAUCAGUUGCCAGCAUUAAGUUGGGCACUCUGGUGAGACUGCCGGUGACAAACCGGAGGAAGGUGGGGAUGACGUCAAAUCAUCAUGCCCCUUAUGACCUGGGCUACACACGUGCUACAAUGGAUGGUACAACGAGUUGCGAACUCGCGAGAGUAAGCUAAUCUCUUAAAGCCAUUCUCAGUUCGGAUUGUAGGCUGCAACUCGCCUACAUGAAGUCGGAAUCGCUAGUAAUCGCGGAUCAGCAUGCCGCGGUGAAUACGUUCCCGGGCCUUGUACACACCGCCCGUCACACCAUGAGAGUUUGUAACACCCAAAGUCGGUGGGGUAACCUUUUAGGAACCAGCCGCCUAAGGUGGGACAGAUGAUUUGGUGAUGUGUACCCAGGG
rnacentral:rRNA from 1 species